rnacentral:rRNA from 1 species
UACGGAGGGGGCUAGCGUUGUUCGGAAUUACUGGGCGUAAAGCGCACGUAGGCGGCUUUGUAAGUUAGAGGUGAAAGCCCGGAGCUCAACUCCGGAAUUGCCUUUAAGACUGCAUCGCUAGAAUUGUGGAGAGGUAAGUGGAAUUCCGAGUGUAGAGGUGAAAUUCGUAGAUAUUCGGAGGAACACCAGUGGCGAAGGCGGCUCACUGGUCCAUUACUGACGCUGAGGUGCGAAAGCGUGGGGGAGCAAACGGG